rnacentral:tRNA from 1 species
AUUUUAAUAGCUUAAUAAAAGAGCAUAAUAUUGAAGAUAUUAAGGUGAUUUUAAUCUUAAAAUA